rnacentral:tRNA from 1 species
CCUUCGAUAGCUCAGUUGGUAGAGCGGUGGACUGUAGAUGGUGUUGCGGUGCAAUUUGCAAACAGAGAUCCAUAGGUCGCUGGUUCAAAUCCGGCUCGAAGGA